rnacentral:rRNA from 1 species
GACGAACGCUGGCGGCGUGCUUAACACAUGCAAGUCGAACGGAAAGGCCCUGCUUUUGUGGGGUGCUCGAGUGGCGAACGGGUGAGUAACACGUGAGUAACCUGCCCUUGACUUUGGGAUAACUUCAGGAAACUGGGGCUAAUACCGGAUAGGAGCUCCUGCUGCAUGGUGGGGGUUGGAAAGUUUCGGCGGUUGGGAUGGACUCGCGGCUUAUCAGCUUGUUGGUGGGGUAGUGGCUUACCAAGGCUUUGACGGGUAGCCGGCCUGAGAGGGUGACCGGCCACAUUGGGACUGAGAUACGGCCCAGACUCCUACGGGAGGCAGCAGUGGGGAAUAUUGCACAAUGGGCGGAAGCCUGAUGCAGCAACGCCGCGUGCGGGAUGACGGCCUUCGGGUUGUAAACCGCUUUCGGCUGUGACGAAGAGUGAGUGACGGUAAUGGGUAAAGAAGCACCGGCUAACUACGUG